UACGAGGGGGGCAAGCGUUGUUCGGAAUUAUUGGGCGUAAAGGGUGCGUAGGCGGUGCGGUAAGUCUGUUGUGAAAUCUAUGGGCUCAACUCAUAGUCUGCAUCGGAAACUGCCGGGCUUGAGUGUGGGAGAGGUGAGUGGAAUUCCUGGUGUAGCGGUGAAAUGCGUAGAUAUCAGGAGGAACACCUGUGGCGAAAGCGGCUCACUGGACCAUAACUGACGCUGAUGCACGAAAGCUAGGGGAGCAAACAGG
rnacentral:rRNA from 1 species